AAAUGUAAAUAUGAACUGUUGUUUUUUGGAACUUUCAUUUGUCAUAUUCACCUCAAAAGUUUAAGUUAUUCACGAAAAUACCAUUACAUUUUUUCAAUAUUGAUUAGUUUACUCAUUCAUUCUCAUCAUCCUCUUUUAGGUACAACAUUGACAUUGUCAUCAAUAUACCAACCACCAUGAACAACUAAUUCAAAGUUCUAAAUGCACUUUAGUAUCUUUAGUGCUAUCUGCAACUAGUAAGUCUAGAAUGAUGUGGUUAGAUAACAAGCAAAAUCAAUAAGUUCAUUGUCUCAUUCUUGACUCAAUAAAAACUUCUUUUUAAAAUCAUUUUAAUAAGACUCAUGAAAUAAACUAAUAUCAGUAAACCUCCUCCCAGACU
rnacentral:lncRNA from 1 species